rnacentral:rRNA from 1 species
CGAACGGGUGAGUAACGCGUGAGUAACCUGCCCUGGAGUGGGGGGACGAACAAGUUGGAAACGACUGCUAAUACCGCAUAAGCCCACGGAUCCGCAUGGAUCUGCGGGAAAAGGAUUUAUUCGCUUCAGGAUGGACUCGCGUCCAAUUAGCUAGUUGGUGAGGUAACGGCCCACCAAGGCGACGAUUGGUAGCCGGACUGAGAGGUUGAACGGCCACAUUGGGACUGAGACACGGCCCAGACUCCUACGGGAGGCAGCAUG